rnacentral:rRNA from 1 species
UACAGAGGUCUCAAGCGUUGUUCGGAAUUACUGGGCGUAAAGGGUGCGCAGGCCGCGCGGGCAGUCAAAUGUGUAAUUCAGGGGCUCAAUCCCUGGACUGCGCUUGAUACUUCCGCGCUUGAACCUUGGAGAGGAGUCUGGAAUUCUCGGUGUAGCAGUGAAAUGCGUGGAUAUCGAGAAGAACACUAAGGGCGAAGGCAAGACUCUAGACAAGUGUUGACGCUCAUGCACGAAGGCUAGGGUAGCGAACGGG